UACAAGGCCUGGAGCAGAUACGAAAAACCUCCCUUCUUUGCCAAAUGGUCCCCAGCUUCCCCAUUCACUGAAGGCCCUGCGGUCAGGAACAGUCAGGACUUUGCACCCAGUUGUUGUGAGUGUUGGCCGACCCUUCCUCUUGUGUGAUUCAUGGACCCUUAGCAUUGCAUCACCUGGGAGCUUUUGGAAUUGAAGACUCUCAGCGCUCACCGGAAGGACCUCCUGGGCCAGAAUCUGCAUUUUAACAAGAUGCCCAGGGCUUCUCAACCAGGGGGUGAUUUUGCCCCCAAGAGAACAUGUGGCCAUGUCUGGAGACAAUUUUGGUUGUUGCAGCUGGAGGAGGUGGUGCUACUGGCAGCUAAUAGGUAGAGGCCACGGAUGCUGCUAAACAUCCUACAAUGCUCCGGACAACUCCCACUAAGACAAAAGAAUGAUCCAGCCCCAAAUGUCAAUAGUGCUGAAAGUGAGAGACCCUGAUUCCAUCUUAGAGAUCAUCCAAGCACACUUGGCCAAAUAGUUUUUGCUACUAUCCCAUGAAGAAAAGGCAGACUCAUGACUGAUGGCAACGUCGAUGGGAAUUUUGUUUACUUCUUCUUUGUGGACUUUGGGAUACGAUGACUUACCAUUUGUGCAAGUUGUGCAUUGCAUACCUCCAGGGGGCGCCACCCACAUAUUUAUGAAAAUGCCACCCCAGGAAUUGCACAGUACAUAGUCUACAUGGCAAUAAACAGUUGCUCUGGUUUUGGGGUUGUCCUGGGUUGCUCUGGAACUGGGAGGAACUUUAUUUCUGGCCAUUAGAGGCCCUGAGCAUGACAUUGAGUAUCCUUUCAAGAAAGGAGAAAUGUUGAACAGAGAGGACCUCAUUUUUAUAACUCUUGACCAUCAUCUAGUUACGCAGCAUCCACUUUUCACCCCUGGGCCAUAUCCAUUUGACGGAUGAAAAAUCAUCAAAUUAUAAUAUCAUGGCUUUUACUUUUGAUAGCUUCUGCCCGGAACAUGGCGGUAACAGCUUCUCAUUUUCAAUUGAUUCAUUGGGGGAGAAAAUAUACACGACUGCCCUAAGACUUUCUAUUACAUACCAUUUGUUUGACGGGAUUUCUUUAGUUUCUGUAGCAUAACUUAUUCUAACUGGUCCUCAAUCACUUUGCAAUAAAACC
rnacentral:lncRNA from 10 species